GUUUGGUUAAGUUAGAAAGGGCGCACGGUGGAUGCCUUGACACUAGGAGUCGAUGAAGGACGGGACUAACGCCGAUAUGCUUCGGGGAGCUGUAAGUAAGCUUUGAUCCGAAGAUUUCCGAAUGGGGAAACCCACCAUACGUAAUGGUAUGGUAUCCUUAUCUGAAUACAUAGGGUAAGGAAGACAGACCCAGGGAACUGAAACAUCUAAGUACCUGGAGGAAGAGAAAGCAAAUGCGAUUUCCUGAGUAGCGGCGAGCGAAACGGAACAUAGCCCAAACCAAGAGGCUUGCCUCUUGGGGUUGUAGGACAUUCUAUACGGAGUUACAAAGGAACGAGGUAGACGAAGCGACCUGGAAAGGUCCGUCGUAGAGGG
rnacentral:rRNA from 1 species